rnacentral:rRNA from 1 species
UACGUAGGGGGCAAGCGUUGUCCGGAAUCAUUGGGCGUAAAGCGCGUGUAGGCGGUUCAGUAAGUCUGCUGUGAAAGUCCAGGGCUCAACCCUGGGAUGCCGGUGGAUACUGCUGGGCUAGAGUACGGAAGAGGCGAGUGGAAUUCCCGGUGUAGCGGUGAAAUGCGCAGAUAUCGGGAGGAACACCAAUUGCGAAGGCAGCUCGCUGGGACGUCACUGACGCUGAGACGCGAAAGCGUGGGGAGCAAACAGG